rnacentral:rRNA from 1 species
GCCCUGGCAGUCAGAGGCGAUGAAGGACGUGCUAAUCUGCGAAAAGCGUCGGUAAGGUGAUAUGAACCGUUAUAACCGGCGAUGUCCGAAUGGGGAAACCCAGUGCAAUUCGUUGCACUAUCGUUAACUGAAUACAUAGGUUAACGAGGCGAACCGGGGGAACUGAAACAUCUAAGUACCCCGAGGAAAAGAAAUCAACCGAGAUUCCCCCAGUAGCGGCGAGCGAACGGGGAGCAGCCCAGAGUCUGAAUCAGCUUGUGUGUUAGUGGAACGGUCUGGAAAGUCCGACGGUACAGGGUGAUAGUCCCGUACACCAAAAUGCACAGGCUGUGAACUCGAAGAGUAGGGCGGGACACGUGGUAUCCUGUCUGAAUAUGGGGGGACCAUCCUCCAAGGCUAAAUACUCCUGACUGACCGAUAGUGAACCAGUACCGUGAGGGAAAGGCGAAAAGAACCCCGGCGAGGGGAGUGAAAAAGAACCUGAAACCGUGUACGUACAAGCAGUGGGAGCACCUUCGGGUGUGACUGCGUACCUUUUGUAUAAUGGGUCAGCGACUUAUAUUCUGUAGCAAGGUUAACCGUAUAGGGGAGCCGCAGGGAAACCGAGUCUUAACUGGGCGUUAAGUUGCAGGGUAUAGACCCGAAACCCGGUGAUCUAGCCAUGGGCAGGUUGAAGGUUGGGUAACACUAACUGGAGGACCGAACCGACUAAUGUUGAAAAAUUAGCGGAUGACUUGUGGCUGGGGGUGAAAGGCCAAUCAAACCGGGAGAUAGCUGGUUCUCCCCGAAAGCUAUUUAGGUAGCGCCUCGUGAACUCAUCUUCGGGGGUAGAGCACUGUUUCGGCUAGGGGGUCAUCCCGACUUACCAACCCGAUGCAAACUACGAAUACCGAAGAAUGUUAUCACGGGAGACACACGGCGGGUGCUAACGUCCGUCGUGAAGAGGGAAACAACCCAGACCGCCAGCUAAGGUCCCAAAGUCAUGGUUAAGUGGGAAACGAUGUGGGAAGGCACAGACAGCCAGGAUGUUGGCUUAGAAGCAGCCAUCAUUUAAAGAAAGCGUAAUAGCUCACUGGUCGAGUCGGCCUGCGCGGAAGAUGUAACGGGGCUAAACCAUGCACCGAAGCUGCGGCAGCGACACUAUGUGUUGUUGGGUAGGGGAGCGUUCUGUAAGCCUGCGAAGGUGUGCUGUGAGGCAUGCUGGAGGUAUCAGAAGUGCGAAUGCUGACAUAAGUAACGAUAAAGCGGGUGAAAAGCCCGCUCGCCGGAAGACCAAGGGUUCCUGUCCAACGUUAAUCGGGGCAGGGUGAGUCGACCCCUAAGGCGAGGCCGAAAGGCGUAGUCGAUGGGAAACAGGUUAAUAUUCCUGUACUUGGUGUUACUGCGAAGGGGGGACGGAGAAGGCUAUGUUAGCCGGGCGACGGUUGUCCCGGUUUAAGCAUGUAGGCUGAUUGUCCAGGCAAAUCCGGAUAAUCAAGGCUGAGGUGUGAUGACGAGGCACUACGGUGCUGAAGUAACAAAUGCCCUGCUUCCAGGAAAAGCCUCUAAGCAUCAGGUAACAUUAAAUCGUACCCCAAACCGACACAGGUGGUCAGGUAGAGAAUACCAAGGCGCUUGAGAGAACUCGGGUGAAGGAACUAGGCAAAAUGGUGCCGUAACUUCGGGAGAAGGCACGCUGGUGUGUAGGUGAAGUCCCUGCGGAUGGAGCUGAGACCAGUCGAAGAUACCAGCUGGCUGCAACUGUUUAUUAAAAACACAGCACUGUGCAAACACGAAAGUGGACGUAUACGGUGUGACGCCUGCCCGGUGCCGGAAGGUUAAUUGAUGGGGUUAUCCGUAAGGAGAAGCUCUUGAUCGAAGCCCCGGUAAACGGCGGCCGUAACUAUAACGGUCCUAAGGUAGCGAAAUUCCUUGUCGGGUAAGUUCCGACCUGCACGAAUGGCGUAAUGAUGGCCAGGCUGUCUCCACCCGAGACUCAGUGAAAUUGAACUCGCUGUGAAGAUGCAGUGUACCCGCGGCAAGACGGAAAGACCCCGUGAACCUUUACUAUAGCUUGACACUGAACAUUGAGCCUUGAUGUGUAGGAUAGGUGGGAGGCUUUGAAGCGUGGACGCCAGUCUGCGUGGAGCCAACCUUGAAAUACCACCCUUUAAUGUUUGAUGUUCUAACGUUGGCCCCUUACCGGGGUUGCGGACAGUGUCUGGUGGGUAGUUUGACUGGGGCGGUCUCCUCCCAAAGCGUAACGGAGGAGCACGAAGGUUAGCUAAUCCUGGUCGGACAUCAGGAGGUUAGUGCAAUGGCAUAAGCUAGCUUGACUGCGAGCGUGACGGCGCGAGCAGGUGCGAAAGCAGGUCAUAGUGAUCCGGUGGUUCUGAAUGGAAGGGCCAUCGCUCAACGGAUAAAAGGUACUCCGGGGAUAACAGGCUGAUACCGCCCAAGAGUUCAUAUCGACGGCGGUGUUUGGCACCUCGAUGUCGGCUCAUCACAUCCUGGGGCUGAAGUAGGUCCCAAGGGUAUGGCUGUUCGCCAUUUAAAGUGGUACGCGAGCUGGGUUUAGAACGUCGUGAGACAGUUCGGUCCCUAUCUGCCGUGGGCGCUGGAGAAUUGAGGGGGGCUGCUCCUAGUACGAGAGGACCGGAGUGGACGCAUCACUGGUGUUCGGGUUGUCAUGCCAAUGGCACUGCCCGGUAGCUAAAUGCGGAAGAGAUAAGUGCUGAAAGCAUCUAAGCACGAAACUUGCCCCGAGAUGAGUUCUCCCUGAGACUUUAAGUCUCCUGAAGGAACGUUGAAGACGACGACGUUGAUAGGCCGGGUGUGUAAGCGCAGCGAUGCGUUGAGCUAACCGGUACUAAUGAACCGUGAGGCUUAACCUU